UAGAGAUAUACGAUACAGUGAAAAGUUUGUGAAUUCAGUAGGCAUUAUAAUUAUGAUUUAUUGAAACGAGUUUGUUACUAUCAAGAAGCUUUGCUAGUCGAAAUUGUAAUCUAGAUCGGAAUAAAUAUGGACAAAGCAAACGCUACUGUUGGGCUUCUUUCCAGCGCGCGAGAGCAGGAAAGCGAGCGAGGUUGCAUUUUUAACCAAUUAUUUUUGAUUUAUUUGAAACGACAAUUGUUUCUUCAAAGUCCAAACAUUUUUGGAUGAUUUAAUUUUUGAACGGCAGCUUAUUGUUAAAAUGUCCAUACGAAAAUACAACAGAAUAUAGCAGAAUUGAAGUGCAUCUACGUUGAAUGGCAAGCAUUGGAAAACGAAAGAAUGUUUUCAAGGACACAGUCGUAGAGGAGCAGGUGGGGGGCGUGCACUGCCAUGAUCGUCUUUGUUUGUCUUCAACUCUUCAUCUCAGUUUCAUUACAGUUUUUGCGUAGGUGAAAUCGAAACUGCUCUCGCAUAAUUUGUCGGUACACGUUCUUGGACAGUAUGGACACGUUUUCGAACAGCGAAAGAAAAUUAAGUAUCAAACUGUUGGGCACGAUUCCAAUAUGGUGGACGUGAACUGAAUCCAGUGAAUGGCUGGUGCAGAUUCCUUAGCAUUUCGAUCUCAAUCGGAAUGCGACUAAUUGUUAAAUAUGGCGGUUUUAAACGUCGACCUUUCAACCGACAAAAUGCUGGCCGGAUGAAUUGCUAACGUGGCCGACUGUUGGUUUGGUGCUAAGAAGAUUGGCUUCUCAUCGACGGAUGUUCCAUAGCUGUGCACGAGUAGUAUUCAUCUGCAACGUAGAUAUCGUCGUUUGAUAUAGCGACCUAUUCACCCACACAGCAAUUGCACAAGCAAUUUUAACCAGGUCGUUUGCUAGGUACGCCCAUAUCCGGCGGAGGAACAACGGCGAGCCAAAGUAAAGUCUCUGGUGUUCACUACUGACAGGCACGAACAGCGAAGACUGAAUGGAAUGUUUGGCGAGCGAAUCUCGUGACCCGUAACCACCUCGAUUCAAUCCUGAAUAUCCGUACGUGUUGAAUCCUGCCCCCGGAAGUAGAGUCGGCUCUACCCUGGAUCGAGAUAUUGGGGGCGAAAAAAGGUCUUUGUCGACUUGAUCUUGCUGAGCUAAGAAAAGGGGCUCUUCGAUCCAGUGUUGUCGACGGCGACGACAUGGGGGGAUAGGCACGCCUCCUACCGUGUUCAACGAGAAACAUACCGUGUUUGUCGAUAUCGUCGUCGUCGUUGUCGUCGUUUCAGUUGUCAUCCUAACGACCUAUUUCAGACGGAAACAGUCGUGAACUUGAGACUGAAACGGCAAAAUCGUUUCUACGGGACCUCGCACUCUGCUUGAAAAUUGCGCAAUCCAUCACCGGCAUCGAGACAUGUACCUGAACGUAGAUACUGUGGGAUUCCACGCAGAUCAACCGCCAAUGGGAGGCUGUCAACCAUAUUGUUCCAUCAUCGUCACCUGCUUUGCGGGAAACCGUAAUCAAC